UUUAACUUUAUCUCUCCAGAUUUCACUUUAACUCUUCAGGUUUAGCUUUAUCUUUACAGAUUUCACUUUAACUCUCCAGGUUUAACUUUAUCUCUACAUAUUUCACUUUAACUCUCCAGGUUUAGUUUUAUCUCUCCAAAUUUCACUUUAACUCUCCAGGUUUAGCUUUAUCUCUAUAGAUUUCACUUUAACUCUCCAGGUUUAGUUUUAUCUCUACAGAUUUUACUUUAACUCUCCAGGUUUAACUUCAUCUCUACAGAUUUCACUUUAACUCUCCAGGUUUAACUUUAUCUCUUCAUAUUUCACUUUAACUCUCCAGGUUUAGCUUUAUCUCUACAUAUUUCACUUUAACUCUCCAGGUUUAACUUUAUCUCUACAGAUUUCACUUUAACUCUCCAGGUUUAACUUUAUCUCUUCAUAUUUCACUUUAACUCUCCAGGUUUAGCUUUAUCUCUACAUAUUUCACUUUAACUCUCCAGGUUUAACUUUAUCUCUACAGAUUUCACUUUAACUCUCCAGGUUUAGCUUUAUCUCUACAUAUUUCACUUUAACUCUCCAGGUUUAACUUUAUCUCUACAGAUUUCACUUUAACUCUCCAGGUUUAACUUUAUCUCUACAGAUUUCACUUUAACUCUCCAGGUUUAACUUUAUCUCUACAGAUUUC